UACGUAGGGGGCAAGCGUUGUCCGGAAUUAUUGGGCGUAAAGAGCGUGUAGGCGGUCCGGUAAGUCCGCUGUGAAAGUCAAGGGCUCAACCCUUGAAAGCCGGUUGAUACUGUCGGGCUAGAGUCCGGAAGAGGCGAGUGGAAUUCCCGGUGUAGCGGUGAAAUGCGCAGAUAUCGGGAGGAACACCAAUGGCGAAGGCAGCUGGCUGGGACGGUACUGACGCUGAGACGCGAAAGCGUGGGGAGCAAACAGG
rnacentral:rRNA from 1 species